UCCAAAACCUUUACAGGUUAACUUUUGUAUUAUGUAUUACUGGAUUAAUAUGUAUUUACUGAAGUCAACUUUUGUAUUACAGGUUUUGGCAAUAUUAAGCUGGAACGACCUCUAACAUUAUGGAUAAUCUAGAUGGAGACUUACAACGAACUGUAAUAUUCGUUCCCUUUACUCAUCGUCUUAUAAAAUUUCAUUUUGUGUACAUAUCAGCUACUUAUUUGUUUUUGUAUGUAUAGGUUCAGUUUCUUCAACAAAAAAAUGUCGGUGUAGUGAUUCGUGAUGAGCAUGAUUUCAAUGUUGUUCAUAUUUCUAAUGCAAUGGAAAAGGAAAAUGCAAAGGCAAUGUUGAAAGGAAAAGAAAAGGUGUCUUAUGCUUCCAAGGGCAAGGGAAAGGAAAAUGCAUGUCCAGCGGUAUAGUUCUUAAUGGUUUUUGUAAAGUGUUUUUUUUUUUUUAAAUUGUUAGUUUUCGUAUGUUUGUAUUUUAAGCCAUAAUUGUAUAUCGAAUUGUUUAUUUUAAGCAAUAAACAAUUGUUUAUUUUAAGCCAUAAUUGUAGAGUGUUU